rnacentral:rRNA from 1 species
AUCGGAACGUGCCCAGUCGUGGGGGAUAACGUAGCGAAAGCUACGCUAAUACCGCAUACGAUCUACGGAUGAAAGCGGGGGAUCGCAAGACCUCGCGCGAUUGGAGCGGCCGAUGGCAGAUUAGGUAGUUGGUGAGGUAAAGGCUCACCAAGCCGACGAUCUGUAGCUGGUCUGAGAGGACGACCAGCCACACUGGAACUGAGACACGGUCCAGACUCCUACGGGAGGCAGCAGUGGGGAAUUUUGGACAAUGGGCGCAAGCCUGAUCCAGCCAUUCCGCGUGCAGGAUGAAGGCCUUCGGGUUGUAAACUGCUUUUGUACGGAACGAAAAGGCUCUGGUUAAUACCUGGGGCUCAUGACGGUACCGUAAGAAUAAGCACCGGCUAACUACGUGCCAGCAGCCGCGGUAAUACGUAGGGUGCAAGCGUUAAUCGGAAUUACUGGGCGUAAAGCGUGCGCAGGCGGUGAUGUAAGACAGAUGUGAAAUCCCCGGGCUCAACCUGGGAACUGCAUUUGUGACUGCAUCGCUGGAGUACGGCAGAGGGGGAUGGAAUUCCGCGUGUAGCAGUGAAAUGCGUAGAUAUGCGGAGGAACACCGAUGGCGAAGGCAAUCCCCGUGGGCCUGUACUGACGCUCAUGCACGAAAGCGU